UCGGGUUGUAAAGCACUUUUGUCCGGAAAGAAAUCCUCUGGGUUAAUACCUCGGGGGGAUGACGGUACCGGAAGAAUAAGCACCGGCUAACUACGUGCCAGCAGCCGCGGUAAUACGUAGGGUGCGAGCGUUAAUCGGAAUUACUGGGCGUAAAGCGUGCGCAGGCGGUUCGCUAAGACCGAUGUGAAAUCCCCGGGCUUAACCUGGGAACUGCAUUGGUGACUGGCGAGCUAGAGUAUGGCAGAGGGGGGGUAGAGUUCCACGUGUAGCAGUGAAAUGCGUAGAGAUGUGGAGGAAUACCGAUGGCGAAGGCAGCCCCUGGGCCAAUACUGACGCUCAUGCACGAAAGCGUGGGGAGCAAACAGGAUUAGAUACCCUGGUAGUCCACGCCCUAAACGAUGUCAACUAGUUGUCGGGUCUUCAUUGACUUGGUAACGAAGCUAACGCGUGAAGUUGACCGCCUGGGAAGUACGGUCGCAAGAUUAAAACUCAAAGGAAUUGACGGGGACCCGCACAAGCGGUGGAUGAUGUGGAUUAAUUCGAUGCAACGCGAAAAACCUUACCUACCCUUGACAUGUACGGAACCUUGCUG
rnacentral:rRNA from 1 species